GUCCACGCUGUAAACGAUGUUCACUAGAUGUUGGGAGUAUUGACCCUUCCAGCGUCGCAGCUAACGCAUUAAGUGAACCGCCUGGGGAGUACGGUCGCAAGACUAAAAACUCAAAGGAAUUGACGGGGGCCCCGCACAAGCGGUGGAGUAUGUGGUUUAAUUCGACGCAACGCGAAGAACCUUACCUGGGUUAGAAAUCAACUAGAAGUUUUGCAGAGAUGUGAGACGUUCCCGCAAGGGAACUGGUUGACAGGUGCUGCAUGGCUGUCGU
rnacentral:rRNA from 1 species